rnacentral:lncRNA from 10 species
CCCUCUCCGCUCGUCCCUCGCCGCUGCCGGGCCACCAGUGCCAGCCUGCCUCAGGAGACUCCAUUUGCGCUUAGUGUGGUCUGGGCGCCGCGCAGGCGGUCCCAGGGCGAUGCCCGGGGCCGGCGGACUGGCGUUCCCUGUGCCAAGCGGCCGCCCGCUGGCUGGCUGGCUGCAGCAGUGACAUCCUGGUCGCCGGCGUCCAGGCGGAAUCCGGGCUCCCUCCGCGGGAGGAAAGACGUCCCGCGCUCUGAAGCUCGCCCAGCGGGGAGAGGCCCUCGCUAACACGGCUUCUCCCUGACCUCUUAAUUUCAGGAGGUAGGCUCUUCAGGUCCCUCUCUCUGUCACCCCAGAUUAUGCCUGAAAGCAUUAUUUGUCGUAUUUAGCUAUCACAUUGAUAGGAGGCGUUAAUUUUCUCAACAUAGUUGCAGGAUAAAUGUGGAUAAUGCCACAGAUCCUGAUGUUGAAUUGAAAGAAAAUGUUUUUGGUAUUUUCCUUUAGGUUUCGGAGCCUCCGAGUAUCUCUACAGCCCCCACAGGAACUGCUUCUGUUGGUCCAUCGAGGAUCGUCUUUCACCAGGAUUAUUGUAACAUCAUCUUCACCGAGCCUGCCACCCCAUAGCCUCUACCUUGGGUCCUCAUUUCCACCGAUGCAGUUUUUUUGAUGCUUUCUUUAGUAAUGUGACAUCACAUGUCCACUAUCCUCCUUUCCAGCUGCCAAAUCUAGUAGGUUUAAGUCGCUUUUAAAGUAGAGUUUUCUGCCUGUUCCACUUUCACCUUAUUUGCACUGUUCACUUCUGUCCGGGUCAUCUUCUCUUGCGUAUGAUUUCCACAAGCACUCACUUGCGCAACCUAUAGCAGAGUCCGUGCCUAGAGAGACAGCAUUCCAUACAAUCCACUGCUUGACAAAGACCACAUAGUCAGAGGAAUAUCUUGAUCUUCUGGAACUUACUUACAAAGAAAGUCACCUUUGAGUGUAAAAAAAGAUAAACUCAAGGCAGUUUUACUCAUCUGUUGAAGACUUGACCUGAACUCAAGUGAUCCUCCCACCUCAGACUCCCACAUAACUGGGACUACAGGAGUAUGCCACCAUGCCCGGCUAAUUUUUUUUUUCUUUCUUUCUUUUUUUUUUUUUUGUGAACCAGAGUCUCACUCUGUUGCCCAGGCUGGAGUGCAGUGGCGCGUUCUCAGCUCACUGCAACCUCUGCCUCCUGGGUUCAAGCGGUUCUCCUGCCUCAGCCUCCUGAGUAGCUGGGACUACAGGUGCCCGCCACCGUGCCUGGCUAAUUUUUUGUAUAUUAGUAGAGAUGGGGUCUCACUGUGUUGCCCAGUCUGAUCUCAACUCGGCUCAAACGCCCUGGCCUCUCAAAGUGCUGGGAUUACAGGCAUGAGCCACUGCACCCACCCCAUAAUACUAUUCAUUCCUUGAACACAUACAUACUUUUUACUAAUUUAGGAGAAAAAAUAGGGUAAUCCUUACCAAAUUACUCAAAAUCUUAUCUUUAAAGACAUGCUGCUUUAUUCCUUUUAAAUAUAUAAAGUAGGCCAGGCACGGUGGCUCAUGCCUAUAAUCCCAGCACUUCGGGAGGCCGAGGCGGGUGGAUCACGAGGUCAGGAAAUCAAGACCAUCCUGGCUAACACGUGAAACCCUGUCUCUACUAAAAAUACAAAAAAUUAGCCAGGCGUGGUGGCGGGUGCCUGUAGUCCCAGCUACUCGGGAGGCUGAGGCAGGAGAAUCGCUUGAACCCGGGAGGCAGAGGUUGCAGUGAGCCGAGACCGUGCCACUGCACUGCAGCCUGGGUGACAGAGCAAGACUCCGUCUCAAAAAAAAAUUAUAUAUGUAGUAUAUAUGUAAAUAUAUAUGUAGUAUAUAUGUAUAUAUAUAUAGUAUAUAUGUAAAUAUAUAUAAAUUGAAGAGCUAACAAAAUGUAGUCAAAUAGUGGUUUUACUGGCCAUACUUCUAAUGAUUUGUAUGUAAAUUAAUUCUGGUAAGUUUUUAGAUUGUUCAAGAACAGUUGUUUUUCCUGUUUAUUUAUAUUAUCCACAAUGGGUUUUUGUUUAUCUGUAUUUUAUUCAGAGUUCCUUGGUUUGAACCUGGUGUCCUGUUCCAGGCAUCCAGCCAGGAUACUACAUUAUGUUUAGUCAUUGUGUGUUCUUAGGCUCCUCUUGGCUGUACUAGUUUCUUAGAAUUUCCUCGUUUUUGAUUGUCUGGACAUGAUGAUCUUGACAGUUUUGAGGAAAAGUGGUCAGGUAUUUUGUAGAAUGUCCCUCAUAUGAUAAAAAGUUUUUUAGUUCUUUGUGCAUUUCUUGCCCCCACUAACACAAAAUAGACUGUGAAAGUGCCAUUAUUAAAGAUACAUUAAAGUAUGAGAGAAAGAUAAAUUCUUAUAAGAAUCUGGGAAGGCUUUUCAUCACAAGUAAUGUUGUCCAUGAAGUAAUUAGUUGUGUUUGUGAUAGAAUAGGGGGUGUCACGUGAAAAUCAAGAGUGCAGGUCAUGUUCUAGUAACAGACUAAUAGAAUUGCAAUGUGAUGCGAGUAAGGUGCAAUUAGAAGUAACAGUGUUAAAGUUUGGCAGGGGCCUGAGAGCUUUUUUCCCUCCUGACACCAAAUAAAUGGUAUCUUUUCCAACAACACUUCUCUAACUCUCUGACAUCAACUAUGUGUCCUACAAUUCUGACACUAACUACCCAGAAUUAGGAUCAGAUUCCACAGAUUCAAGGGCUCAGUCCUACAAGAUUGCCCUCAUUUCUGAUGCCAGUUGCAAGUAUUAGGCCCCCAGAUUAGUCAGGCAUUCUCCCAAUACUUCCUCAGACUUGAUAAUUUACUAGAA